rnacentral:rRNA from 1 species
CAAGCUUCCAAGAAAAGCCCUACACCCGUUAAGGCAUCAUGGCCUGUACCCGAAACCGACACAGGUGGGGUGGUAGAGAAUACCGAGGGGCGCGAGGUAACUCUCUCUAAGGAACUCGGCAAAAUGGCCCCGUAACUUCGGGAGAAGGGGUGCCAGCGAGAGCUGGUCGCAGUGAAGAGGCCCAGGCGACUGUUUACCAAAAACACAGGUCUCCGCUAAGUCGCAAGACGAUGUAUGGGGGCUGACGCCUGCCCAGUGCCGGAAGGUUAAGGAAGCUGGUCAGCGCAAGCGAAGCUAGCGACUGAAGCCCCGGUGAACGGCGGCCGUAACAAUAACGGUCCUAAGGUAGCGAAAUUCCUUGUCGGGUAAGUUCCGACCCGCACGAAAGGCGUAACGAUCUGGGCGCUGUCUCGGAGAGAGGCUCGGCGAAAUAGAAUUGUCUGUGAAGAUGCGGACUACGUGCACCCGGACAGAAAGACCCUAUGAAGCUUUACUGUAGCUUGGUAUUGUGCUCGGGCUCGGAAUGCGCAGGAUAGGUGGGAGGCUUGGAUCCAUUGCUUGCGGGUGAUGGUGAGCCACUGGUGAGAUACCACUCUUUCCGAGCUAGAGUUCUAACCCUCGCCCGUUAUCCGGGGAGGGGACAGUAUCAGGUGGGCAGUUUGACUGGGGCGGUCGCCUCCUAAAAGGUAACGGAGGCGUGCAAAGGUUCCCUCAGGCUGGUUGGAAAUCAGCCGACGAGUGCAAAGGCAGAAGGGAGCUUGACUGUGAGACCUACAAGUCGAACAGGGACGAAAGUCGGCCUUAGUGAUCCGACGGUUCUGCGUGGAAGGGCCGUCGCUCAACGGAUAAAAGUUACUCUAGGAUAACAGGCUGAUCUCCCCCAAGAGUUCACAUCGACGGGGAGGUUUGGCACCUCGAUGUCGGCUCAUCGCAACCUGGGGCUGAAGUCGGUCCCAAGGGUUGGGCUGUUCGCCCAUUAAAGCGGUACGCGAGCUGGGUUCAGAACGUCGUGAGACAGUUCGGUCCAUAUCCGGUGCACGCGCAGGAAUAUUGAGAGGAUUUCUCCCUAGUACGAGAGGACCGGGAGGAACGCACCUCUGGUGUGCCAGUUAUCGUGCCAACGGUAAACGCUGGGUAGCCAUGUGCGGAGAGGAUAACCGCUGAAAGCAUCUAAGUGGGAAGCCCACCUCAAGAUGAGUAUUCCCAUGGCAAAAGCCAGUAAGGUCACGGGAAGAUUACCCGUUGAUAGGCUCUACGUGGAAGCGCAGCAAUGCGUGAAGCGGAGGAGUACUAAUAGACCGAGGGCUUU